CCAGGAAACAUUGCUUUGUAGCAGCCACGCAUUGCAUCUGGCUCUGACAGUCUUCCUGCUUCUUCUUCCUGUGACAGAGAUGGCCCACUGGGGAUGAGCAUGCAAUAGCAUCUGCUUCUCUACAUGCUGACCAGCUAAAGAAUCUUCAGCACUACACGAAUGGCUCUCUCUUCUGAAAAGUUUUACUACAAAUUAAAAAAAAAUGUGAUAAAGAUCUACUAUAAGCACCUUUCCUGUACUGAUGAGAAAUCGAUGGGACUGCAGACAUUUAACUGGCGCUGAUGAACCCAGUCCACUCUCCUGGAGAUGGUCCAGCAUUAAACCCAGGUUUAGUAUAAUAGGAAAAUUUAGUAAUAGAAUUAAUAGGUACUGGUAGGCAAUGCUCAUCAAAGAAUAACUUCUGACUUUUUACGAACCGUGGUGUGUGGAACAGAAAGCCAGCCCACCUGGAAGAGCUCAUAGGUGUUAGGUCUGUCUCAUAGUUCUUACACUGAAGGGACACAUUUCCCUUUUAAAAUUGUUAAGCAGAAAGUGUAUGUGUUAAAUAUGUGCUGGAAGCAUCUCACUGUGGGGUAUGUCUCAAUGGUGUCCUUCACUAGGUCAUCAAUGUGACCUGUCUGGACAUUCUCUGAAGUAAUUGAGUGACUCGAAAGCUUACUUU